AAAUAUCGAUGUUUUAAUAUGGCGUAAGUAGUAGAAUGUCUUCGUCGAAUAUGCAAGCAUUUAUUUUUUAAUCAAUAUAAUAAAUUUGUGAAACAUAAAGAAGUGAUAAAGUGAUUUAAAGAUGUGUUUAAAUUUCAAAAGUGUAAUCAUUCGUAAUAUAUAUUAUAUGUUUUAUUUUCAUAUAUGAAAAUUAUUUUAUGUAAAUUUAUUCUACGUUACGUCGCAAUAAGAACAACUAUUAUCCUGUCAAGAAUAAACGUAUAAAGUGCAUUUCAGUGGUCGGUAUAGAAGUUUUCUGUUAAAGCAACGACCGUUGGAAUAGAAUCGAUUUCACCCUUUCUCUGAAGAUGGCAACAACUCCCACAAUCCUAUGAAUAUUAAAACUGUGACCAACUUCAAUCGAUUAACGAGCAAACUUCGUCUAAUUGUUGGAACGCUAAUUAAAAUCAAGAAGUUGGAACCAAAUUAGGAAAGAUGGAACCGUGUGUCCCUAGCGUGUGUCGCCAACCACUAUAAACUUCAGAAGGCUGCAAUUACUUCACUUUGCACUUUUUCAACCAACAUCGUUUAGUGAAACCAUGCUGUGUAUUCUGUCUUUUAAGGUACUGUUCUUUCAAAGUAUU